UAGCAAUUGAAUAGCAGACCGUAGACAGUAGGUGCUCUCUGGCAGAGCUUAAUGUCCUACCGAGGUGUUAUGAUAGAUGCGCAGUUUCCGCAAGCGGAAUUUCGCGUGACCCGAUCAUGCCUUCGUAGUGUCUACGAAGGCAUUUCUUAUGUCCGC
rfam:Paenibacillus sp. VKM B-2647 B-2647_063, whole genome shotgun sequence.